rnacentral:rRNA from 1 species
UACGUAGGGGGCAAGCGUUGUCCGGAAUCACUGGGCGUAAAGGGUGCGUAGGCGGGUCUUUAAGUCAGGGGUGAAAUCCUGGAGCUCAACUCCAGAACUGCCUUUGAUACUGAGGAUCUUGAGUACGGGAGAGGUGAGUGGAACUGCGAGUGUAGAGGUGAAAUUCGUAGAUAUUCGCAGGAACACCAGUGGCGAAAGGCGGCUCACUGGCCCGUAACUGACGCUGAGGCACGAAAGCGUGGGGAGCAAACAGG